GAUGAACGCUGGCGGCGUGCCUAAUACAUGCAAGUCGAGCGAAAGGACGAGAAGCUUGCGUCUCUGAUGUUAGCGGCGGACGGGUGAGUAACACGUGUAUAACCUACCUCUCAGACUGGGAUAACUUCGGGAAACCGUAGAUAAUACCGGAUAAUAUCUUGAACUGCAUGGUUCAAAAGUGAAAGACGGUCUUGCUGUCACUUAUAGACGGAUCCGCGCUGCAUUAGCUAGUUGCUAAGGUAACGGCUUACCAAGGCCACGAGGCAUAGCCGACCUGAGCGGGGGAUCGCCCACACGGGAGCUUGUACGCGCUCCAGGCGCCUACGGUAGGGAGCAGUAUGGAAUGUGACGCAGUGGUGGAGAGCAUUACGGAGCGGCGCCGAGUGUGUUGUGAAGAUGUUCGGUUCGUGAUGCUGUGUUAUUGGUUGUGAACAUAUUUGUAUGUAGCUGAGCAGAACUUGACGGUACCUAGACAGAAAGCCACGGCUAACUACGUG
rnacentral:rRNA from 1 species